GACGGUGAGGGACGAAAGCUGGGGGCACGAACCGGAUUAGAUACCCGGGUAGUCCCAGCCGUAAACGAUGCUCGCUAGGUGUCAGGCAUGGCGCGACCGUGUCUGGUGCCGCAGGGAAGCCGUGAAGCGAGCCACCUGGGAAGUACGGCCGCAAGGCUGAAACUUAAAGGAAUUGGCGGGGGAGCACAACAACGGGUGGAGCCUGCGGUUUAAUUGGACUCAACGCCGGACAACUCACCGGGGACGACAGCAAAAUGUAGGCCAGGCUGAAGACCUUGCCUGAAUCGCUGAGAGGAGGUGCAUGGCCGUCGCCAGUUCGUACUGUGAAGCAUCCUGUUAAGUCAGGCAACGC
rnacentral:rRNA from 1 species